rnacentral:rRNA from 1 species
AGCGAACGCUGGCGGCAGGCCUAAUACAUGCAAGUCGAGCGGCCGUAGCAAUACGGCAGCGGCAGACGGGAGAGUAACACGUGGGAACGUACCCUUCGGUUCGGAACAACCCAGGGAAACUUGGGCUAAUACCGUAUGUGCACUGAGGUGGAAAUAUUUAUAGCCAUAUGAUUAUCUCAUGUCGGAUUAGCUAGUUGUUAAGGUAAUGGCUUAACAAGGCUAUGAUCCGUAGCCGGCCUGAGAGGGUGGACGGCCACAUCGGGACUGAGACACGGCCCGAACUCCUACGGGAGGCAGCAGUGGGGAAUAUUGGACAAUGGGGGCAACCCUGAUCCAGCCAUGCCGCGUGAGUGAAGAAGGCCUUAGGGUUGUAAAGCUCUUUUGCUAGGGAUGAUAAUGACCGUACCUAGAGAAUAAGCCCCGGCUAACUCCGUGCCAGCCGCCGCAGUAAAAC